rnacentral:misc_RNA from 1 species
GAUGAAGAACGUAGCGAAAUGCGAUACGUAAUGUGAAUUGCAGAAUUCAGUGAAUCAUCGAAUCUUUGAACGCAUAUUGCGCUCUCUGGUAUUCCGGAGAGCAUGCUUGUUUGAGUAUCAGUAAACACCUCAACUUCCAUAUCUUUUUUGAAAUGGGAGUUGGACUUGAGUGAUCCCAACGCUUUUCCUCACCGAAAAGUGGCGGGUUACUUGAAAUGCAGGUGCAGCUGGACUUUUCUCUGAGCUAUAAGCAUAUCUAUUUAGUCUGCCUAAAAAACAGAUUAUUACCUUUGCUGCAGCUAACAUAAAGGAGAUUAGUUCUUGUGCUGACUGAUGCAGGAUUCACAAAGACAGGCUUCGGCCGACUUUGUAAACUCGAUCUCAGAUCAAGUAAGACUACCCGCUGAACUUAAGCAUAUCAAUAAGCGGAGGA